AACGCUGGCGGCGUGCUUAACACAUGCAAGUCGAACGCGAAAGGGGCUUCGGCUCCGAGUAGAGUGGCGCACGGGUGAGUAACGCGUGGAUGAUCUGCCCUGAUGUUGGGAAUAACAGUUGGAAACGGCUGCUAAUACCGAAUACGCUCCCCUUUCACGAUGGGAGGAAAGACGGCCUCUGCUUGCAAGCUGUCGCAUGAGGAUGAGUCCGCGUCCCAUUAGCUAGUUGGUGAGGUAAUGGCCCACCAAGGCGACGAUGGGUAGCCGAUUUGAGAGGAUGAUCGGCCACACUGGAACUGAAACACGGUCCAGACUCCUACGGGAGGCAGCAGUGGGGAAUAUUGCGCAAUGGGCGAAAGCCUGACGCAGCGACGCCGCGUGAGGGAUGAAGGGUUCCUUCGGAUCGUAAACCUCUGUCAGAAGGGAAGAAAGCAGCGGGUGCCAAUCAGCCUGCUGUUGACGGUACCUUCAAAGGAAGCACCGGCUAACUCCGUGCCAGCAGCAGC
rnacentral:rRNA from 1 species